AAUCCUGAUGACAAUUCUGAAAUGGAUACAACUACUACUAUGUAUCCUUCUUUCACUAGUGAGGAAAUUGAGAUUUGGAAUUGAGAAGUGAAGAGCUUUGCUGGAGUCACACAGGUGGGAAGUUGAGAGCCAGGACUUCAACCCAGCAAAUCUCCUAACUCCAGGUCUGGUAGAAGACACCAAUCAAAAUAAACUGCAUUCCUGAAACACAGACAGACGUUAAAGCUAUUCAAGUCCUCAAGUCCCAGAGACUAUUGAGGAAGAGGUGGGAGUGUGACAUUGGAAGGGCUGAUAUUGAGAGAUAAAAGUCAAGAAAACUUUUAAGCUGUUUACAGCUUUUAAUAAUUGAGUAAGGUAUACUCCUGUGAACAAAAUUUGGAGCAUAUUUUUUUCUCUCUACCUGAUUUCUCCAAAAUUUGGAAACUAUUUGGUCUCAUUCUGUCACCCAGGCUGGUGUGCAGUGGCACAAACACAGACCACUGCAGCUUUGGCCUCUCCUGGCUCAAGUGAUCCUUCCACCUCAGCCUCUCGAGUAGCUGGUAUUACAGAGAGAAUGAUUAGCUGCUUCCCAGUGUUUAUCUCCAUGUGGAAAAUUCCAACAUCAUAGGUUGAAAUCAACUCAGGAUAUGGAGUUGCGAUCAUGUCAUCAGAUGUUAACUUUAGAGUCAAGAAAACUUUUAAGCUAUUUACAGCUUUUAACAAUUAAGUAUGUUCCUACAAACAAAAUUUGGAGCAUAUUUAUUUCUCUCUACUGAUUUCUCCAGAAUUUGUAAACUAUUUGAAUCAAGCUUGACUUAUGGAGACAAUAAAAGUCCCUUGGAAAAACUGGCCUCAUACCUUGGUCUACAUAGCUCCUGAUCUGCGGUAGGUAAAGAAUGUCACUUUCUGACAGGUUCAGGAGCCCUAGGUUUAUCUUGGAAAGUCAAGAGGAGAAGAUCACCCAACUUGUAGGUAUUUAAUGACACAAAUCCAUGGCUGGGCUUGGCUUUAAAAAAAAGUCUUAUCUGAGAUUCCUUCUAUGGAAUAGAGUUCCAUCAAAGCCAAUUUAAAAACCUAUGCAAAAAAAAUAAUUAUUCUUGCUGCACUGUAUACAAAUAAUCAGGCCAAGUGUAAUAAAACAAAUCAGUUCUGCCAGGAUUUGCCUUUAGUAAAAAUGGGAAACUGGAGAGAGAAAAACUAUGUUUCAAAAACUAUAGUAUACCUGUUUUUAGAUUCUAGUCUUGCCUAACAUUUUUCAAUUUUUAUUUUUUUCUAGUUUAAACCUAAUUCUAAUUUUUCUUAACUACAAGUCUUCAAAAUAAUGUUUUCAAUUUUUUUCUGCUCUUUUUCCCCAUUAUUCCUAAUUUGGAGUCACUGAAAACUAAACUGCUUUUGUAAAGCCCUAUGAACUGAAGCUAGACAACUUAAACUUCAGAAGAAAAUAACAGCAACCUAUUUACAUGCAUAAGCUACUUUCAUACCUGCCUACUGAAGGCUUCAGAGUAAUGUGGCCUAUAUCAAUUUUCUAGGAUUGUCCUUUUGUUUGCUGCUGUUUUUCUCCCUUCCUCUCCCUAUUUUCUCUUCACAGGACAUGAGACUUCACAACCUUCCAAAAAUGAGCUUUCCUAAUAACUUGGUAUGUACCUGUCUAAGAGUAAACCAUCACAGCCAUGAGAGAGCAGACGAAACCUGGGACCAGAGACUCAUUUUCUUCUAAAAUGCUUUCUCCAAAAGAUUUUAAUAAAGAAAAGGGGAGAAAUGUGAGAGGAAAAUAUCUUGGGCCCCCCAAAUCACUAAGCUAAAGGGAAAAUUCAAGCUGGGAACUGCUUAGGGCAAACCUGCUUCCCGUUCUAUUCAAAGUCAUCCUUCUGCUUACUGAGAUAAAUGCAUAUCUGAUUGUCUCCUUUGGAAAGGCUAAUCAGAAACUCAAAAGAAUGCAACUGUUUUUCUCUGACCUACUUGUGACCUGGAAGCCCCCUCCCCUCUUUGAGUUGGCCCGCAUUUGCUUCAAGUUGUCUCACCUGUCUAGACCAAACCAAUGUUCAUUUUACAUAUGUUGAUUGACAUCUCAUGUCUUUCUAAAAUGUAUAAAACCAAGCUAUGCGUUCUGACCACCUUGGGCACAUGUUGUCCAGACCUCCUGGGACUCUGUCAUGGGUGUGUCCUCAACCUUGGCAAAAUAAACUUUCUAAAUUAACAGACCUGUCUCAAAUUU
rnacentral:lncRNA from 1 species